rnacentral:rRNA from 1 species
CCCUUAGAUGUUCUGGGCUGCACGCGCGCUACACUGAUGCACUCAACGAGUUUACGACCUUGCCCGAUAGGGUUGGGUAAUCUUUUUAAAAUGCAUCGUGAUGGGGAUAGAUUAUUGCAAUUAUUAAUCUUCAACGAGGAAUUCCUAGUAAGCGCGAGUCAUCAGCUCGUGCUGAUUACGUCCCUGCCCUUUGUACACACCGCCCGUCGCGCCUACCGAUUGAGUGCUCAGGUGAAUAAUUCGGACUGCAGCAAUGUUUGGAUCCCGAACGUUGCAGCGGAAAGUUUAGUGAACCUUAUCACUUAGAGGAAGGAGAAGUCGUAACA